rnacentral:lncRNA from 1 species
AGAGGCGCUGAGGUUUAGGGAGACUUCGGAGAUAUAUGAUUCGUAAAGAAAACGUCUGGGUGUUUAUUUGUUAGAAAGCAAGGGAUUAUUCAUAUAUGCUUAAUUGGAGCAAAUUUUCUAAAAUGUGAGAUCCUGAAUAUCUUUGUUAUUUUGGCUACCAACCUUAGAAUAUUAUAUCUGUUAUUAUACUUUGAUUCAUGUGUUAUUUUACUUUUGUCUCUAUAAUCUUAUUUAUCUCCUAUGUUAUAUAUAUGCAUAUUUUCAGUAUAUUAUAUGUUUUUUAUUACAUAAUUAAAAAUAAGCAAAAUCGUGUUGAAGGGGCUAUUCUUUUUUAUUUUAGCGUUUUGUUUAUUCUAGUAAAUUCAAAUGAUUAUUUCACAUAAAAUAUUAAUAUAGAUUCUAAACUUCGAACUUAGUAUAUAUUGGUUUUUAUUAGUUUGCAUUUUUAUUUUAUAUUCUUAUAUCCACAAUAUUUGGUGUUAUAUUAAAUUAUGUU